rnacentral:rRNA from 1 species
AGUGGCGGACGGGUGAGUAACGCGUGAGAAUCUGCCUUGGGGUCGGGGACAACCACUGGAAACGGUGGCUAAUACCGGAUAAGCCGAUUGGUGAAAGAUUUAUUGCCCGAAGAGGAGCUCGCGUCUGAUUAGCUAGUUGGUGAGGUAAGAGCUCACCAAGGCAGCGAUCAGUAGCUGGUCUGAGAGGACGAUCAGCCACACUGGGACUGAGACACGGCCCAGACUCCUACGGGAGGCAGCAGUGGGGAAUUUUCCGCAAUGGGCGAAAGCCUGACGGAGCAAGACCGCGUGAGGGAGGAAGGCUCUUGGGUUGUAAACCUCUUUUCUCAGGGAAGAAGCUCUGACGGUACCUGAGGAAUCAGCCUCGGCUAACUCCGUGCCAGCAGCCGCGGUAAUACGGAGGAGGCAAGCGUUAUCCGGAAUUAUUGGGCCUAAAGCGUCCGCAGGUGGCGAUUCAAGUCUGCUGUCAAAGCACGGGGCUUAACUCCGUAAAGGCAGUGGAAACUGAAUAGCUAGAGUGCCGUAGGGGUAGAGGGAAUUCCCGGUGUAGCGGUGAAAUGCGUAGAGAUCGGGAAGAACAUCGGUGGCGAAAGCGCUCUACUGGACGGCAACUGACACUCAGGGACGAAAGCUAGGGGAGCGAAUGGGAUUAGAUACCCC